rnacentral:rRNA from 1 species
UACGGGGGGAGCAAGCGUUGUUCGGAAUCACUGGGCGUAAAGGGCGCGUAGGCGGUCAGGUAAGUGAGAUGUGAAAUUCUCCGGCUCACCCGGAGACGUGCAUCUCAUACUGCUUGGCUCGAGUGCAGGAGAGGAAACGGGAAUUCCAGGUGUAGCGGUGAAAUGCGUAGAUAUCUGGAGGAACACCGGUGGCGAAGGCGCGUUUCUGGCCUGCUACUGACGCUGAUGCGCGAUAGCUAGGGGAGCAAACGGG